AGCGUUCUCGCUUUUCUCCUCCACGCUCGCUUCCUUGUCCUGCUCGUCGAGCACUGGUAGCCGACUUCUGUUUAGCGCGCCCGGUGCUUCGCCCGAUGCCGUCGCUCUACGUCGCCGGAGCUUCAUCCGCCUGAGCACGCCAUCGUUCGCCUUCUACGAUCGUCGGAGCUCACGAAGCCGCUGCAUCGAUGCUUCCCCAGCAUCCCUCUACCGAUCCAGCCAUUACCAGAGCCUCCUCGCCACGACGCCCUACUGAUCCUGUUGUUUGCCAAUCUCGUUCGCCGGAGUUCGCCGACACCCUUGCGCAGCCUCGUCGUGCUGACAAAUCGACACCGUGAAGUCACAUCGGAUCCCUGUGUUCCUCCUCACGCAGACUGCGACAAUCUAUUUUCUAUCCACGAUUUGAAGUGUGAUUCAGAUUUAUAAUCAAAAUGUUAUAUGUUUUUAUGGUCAAACAUUCUUUACUCCCACUAAGAAAAAAAUAG
rnacentral:lncRNA from 7 species